rnacentral:rRNA from 1 species
AAGGGCGACCGAAACGAAAUAUCACACGACUCUCGGCAACGGAUAUCUAGGCUCUCGCAUCGAUGAAGAACGUAGCAAACUGCGAUACUUGGUGUGAAUUGCAGAAUCCCGUGAACCAUCGAGUCUUUGAACGCAAGUUGCGCCCGAAGCCGUUAGGCCGAGGGCAC